GUGGGGAAUCUUGCGCAAUGGGCGAAAGCCUGACGCAGCCAUGCCGCGUGAAUGAUGAAGGUCUUAGGAUUGUAAAAUUCUUUCACCGGGGACGAUAAUGACGGUACCCGGAGAAGAAGCUCCGGCUAACUUCGUGCCAGCAGCCGCGGUAAUACGAAGGGGGCUAGCGUUGCUCGGAAUUACUGGGCGUAAAGGGCGCGUAGGCGGACAGUUUAGUCAGUGGUGAAAGCCCAGGGCUCAACCUUGGAAUUGCCUUUGAUACUGGCUGUCUUGAGUACGGGAGAGGUGAGUGGAACUCCGAGUGUAGAGGUGAAAUUCGUAGAUAUUCGGAAGAACACCAGUGGCGAAGGCGACUCACUGGCCCGUUACUGACGCUGAGGCUCGAAAGCCAGGGGAGCGAACGGGAUUAGAUACCCUGGUAGUCC
rnacentral:rRNA from 1 species